rnacentral:rRNA from 1 species
UACGUAGGGCGCAAGCGUUAUCCGGAAUUAUUGGGCGUAAAGAGCUCGUAGGCGGUUUGUCGCGUCUGCCGUGAAAGUCCGGGGCUCAACUCCGGAUCUGCGGUGGGUACGGGCAGACUAGAGUGAUGUAGGGGAGACUGGAAUUCCUGGUGUAGCGGUGAAAUGCGCAGAUAUCAGGAGGAACACCGAUGGCGAAGGCAGGUCUCUGGGCAUUGGCUGACGCUGAGGCGCGACAGCGUGGGGAGCAAACAGG